GAUGAACGCUGGCGGCGUGCUUAACACAUGCAAGUCGAACGAUGAAGCUCAGCUUGCUGGGUGGAUCAGUGGCGAACGGGUGAGUAACACGUGAGUAACCUGCCCUUAACUCUGGGAUAAGCCUGGGAAACUAGGUCUAAUACCGGAUAGGAGCGCCUACCGCAUGGUGGGUGUUGGAAAGAUUUAUCGGUUUUGGAUGGACUCGCGGCCUAUCAGCUUGUUGGUGAGGUAAUGGCUCACCAAGGCGACGACGGGUAGCCGGCCUGAGAGGGUGACCGGCCACACUGGGACUGAGACACGGCCCAGACUCCUACGGGAGGCAGCAGUGGGGAAUAUUGCACAAUGGGCGAAAGCCUGAUGCAGCGACGCCGCGUGAGGGAUGACGGCCUUCGGGUUGUAAACCUCUUUCAGUAGGGAAGAAGCGAAAGUGACGGUACCUGCAGAAGAAGCACCGGCUAACUACGUG
rnacentral:rRNA from 1 species